rnacentral:rRNA from 1 species
UACAGAGGGUGCAAGCGUUGUUCGGAAUUAUUGGGCGUAAAGGGCGCGUAGGCGGUGCGGUAAGUCUCUUGUGAAAUCUCCGGGCUCAACUCGGAGCCUGCAAGGGAAACUGCCGUGCUUGAGUGUGGGAGAGGUGAGUGGAAUUCCUGGUGUAGCGGUGAAAUGCGUAGAUAUCGGGAGGAACACCUGUGGCGAAAGCGGCUCACUGGACCACAACUGACGCUGAUGCGCGAAAGCUAGGGGAGCAAACAGG